UACGGGGGGUGCGAGCGUUGUCCGGAAUCACUGGGCGUAAAGGGCGCGUAGGUGGUCUGAUAAGGGUGUGGUGAAAGCCCGGGGCUCAACCCCGGGUCGGCCGUGCCGACUGUUAGACUAGAGUACUGUAGGGGCAGGCGGAAUUCCGGGUGUAGCGGUGGAAUGCGCAGAUAUCAGGAGGAACACCGAUGGCGAAGGCAGCUCUCUGGGACGGUACUGACGCUGAGACGCGAAAGCGUGGGGAGCGAACAGG
rnacentral:rRNA from 1 species